UAUGGCUAUAUCAUGUUGAAAUACUGGUUCUCGUAUGGUCACUGAAGUCAAGCAACAUUGAGCUUAGUCUCUACCUAGAUGGGUGACUGCUUAGGAAUACCAGGUGCUGUAAG